CCGCGCCCGACGCCUUGUGCCUGGACUUGCUGCUCAUUUUGACGCCUCCGAGCUUUCGCUCUUGACGUCUUUCUCCCGCGUGACUGUACUCCCGCAUUUCCCCGGCGACCCUGACCUCACUUUCACCCCAGCUAAGGACUGAAACGUCCCUGCCGUAGGCUGCGGCCCCAGACAAGCUGGGCGAGGUCCCUGCAUCCAACCAUCCCGAUUCCUGAUGCUGGGUUACCUAAGCCUAAAGCAUUUUCAGUUUCCAUCUGUGCCUUUCAGGAACCUCCUGAUUUCUGAUUGCGAGUUGGACAGUGUGGUCCCCGGACCAGCAGCAUUGACAUCACCUGGGAGCUGGUGAGGAAUCCAGACUCUUAGGCCCUGCCGGGACCUGCUGAAUCGGAACCUGCAAUUUACCAAGACCUGUACACACAUUACAUACUUCCUUGCAGUAGGAGCGGUCAUGGAUUUGGUUCUGG
rnacentral:lncRNA from 10 species